AUCCAUGUGAUGAAGUUCAGUUAAGUCGUUGUCCUGCUUGCUUAUUUAGACCGACAGGUGGAUUCCUUGUCUACAUUUAGGUCUCUGUAUAGGAGCAUUUAUUCCAUAUGCACCUGAAGUUGUGGCAUUGUGCAGCUCUGUUGAAAGUUUGGUCACUGGAAUAGUACUCAUGAAGUUGGGUUUUUCGAGUAUGCAGUUAAGUUGACUGGUGAUCUUAGUGUUCCUGCUGGACAGAUAACUUGUCGUGCUAAGGUUGGGAAGGGCAGCUGUCUUGAGAAUCGUGGUGCAUAUCCGGAAGAGUUUGGUGUGGCAAACACAAUGAGAAUUGUGAACUCCCCUCUCCUCCCUUGGUCAUGGCGUCCUCCCCUACACUCUUUCCGGCGUCGGCACCGCAGGUGGAACAAGGGACUCUUCGCCAUCCU